AUUUAAAUAAUUAAUUUAUAGAUUUAAAUUAUUUAUUUAUUAUUUAUCUAAUUAAAUGAUUUAUAAAUUUAGAUUAGUUAUUUAUUAUUUAUUUAAUAAUAGAAUUAUAAAUUUAAUUAUUUAUUUACUAUUUACUUAAUUAAUUAAGUGCAUGUUUGCAAUAUAUGUGUUGUUCAAUCUUAUUUAAUAAGUUAUUUAAGUAAUAUAUAUUUAUGUAUGUGAUUAUCUGGAUUGCUGGCUAGUUAGGCUUGCUACGGGCUUCGGAGGCCUUAAACCUACCCAUUCCCUAGCGUUGGUCACGGGCCCACAAAUCGGGUUAUGACAUUGUCAAACUGAAACAUUUUACUUUCUGAACCCUAGAUGGUGAGAGACCACUAGCCGAAAGCAUCACUAGCUUACAUUUUGAACGAGUAGCAUGGGACACGUGGAAUCCUGUGUGAAUCAGCAAGGACCACCUACAAGCCUAAAUACUCAUAGGUUGAUCGAUAGCGAAGUAGUACAAUGAGGGAAAGGUGAAAGGAACCCCCAUCGGGAAGUGAAAUAGAACAUGAAAUUGUAAGCUCCUAAGCAGUGGGAGGAGCCUAGGGCUCUGACUGCGUGCCUGUUGAAAAAUGAGUUGGUGACUCAUAGGCAGUGGCUUGGUUAAGGGAAGAAUCGAAGCCAUACUGAAAAGUCUUCAUUAGGCAAUUGUCACUACUUAUGGACCCAAACCUGGGUGAUCUAUCCAUGACCAUAUAAGCUUGAGUGAAACUAAAUGAAGUUCUAAACUGACUAAUAUUGAAGAAUCAGCGGAUGAGUUGUGGUUAGGGGUGAAAUGCCAUUUGAACCUAGAGCUAGCUGGUUCUCCCUGAAAUGCUUUGAGGCGGAGCAGUUGAGUGCACAUCUAGGGGUAAAGCACUGUUUCGAUGCAGGCUGCGAUAGUGGUACCAAAUCGAGGCAAACUCUGAAUACUAGAUAUAACCUCAAAAUAACAGGGGUCAAGGUCGGCCAGUGAGAUGAUGAAGGAUAAGUUUCAUCGUUGAGAGAGAAACAACCCGGAUCACCACCUAAGGCCCUUAAAUGACCGCUCAGUGAUAAAUGAGGUAAAGGUGCAAAGACAGCCAUGAGGUUUGCCUAGAAGCAGCCACCUUUGAAAGAGUGCGUAAUAGCUCAUUGAUCGAGCGCUCUUGCACCGAAGAUGAAUGGGGCUAAGCGAUCUGCAGAAGCUGUAGGAUGUAAAAAAGCAUUGGUAGGGGAGUAUUCCACCUUAAAGGGAAGCACUUGCGCAAGUGGGGGUGGACGAAGCGGAAGCGAGAAUGUUCAGCUUGAGUAAUGCAAAACAUUGGUGAGAGAAUCGAAUGUCCCGAAAACCUAAGGGUUCCUCCGUAAGGUUCAUCCACGGAGGGUGAGUCGGGGCCUAAGAUCAGGCCGAAAGGUGUAGUCGAUGGAUAACAAAUGAAUAUUCUUGUACUAACCCUUGUUGGUCCCGAGGGACGGAGGAGGCUAGGUUAGCAGAAAGAUGGUUAUCAGUUUAAGGAUGCACGGUAUCCCUGCUUUUCAAGGUAAGAAAGGGUAGAGAAAAUGCCUCAAGCCAACGUUCGAGUACUAGGUGCUACGGCGCUGAAGUAACCUAUGCCAUACUCCUAGGAAAAGCUCAAACGACCUUCAACAAAAGGGUACCUAUACUUGAAACCAACAUAGGUAGGUAGGUAGAGAUUACCUAGGGGUGCGAGACAACUCUCUCUAAGGAACUCAGCAAAAUAGCCCUGUAACUUCGGAAGAAGGCGUGCCUCUCCACAAAGGGGGUUGCAGUGACCAGGCCCGGGCAACUGUAUACCAAAAACACAGAUCUCCAUAAAGUUGUAAGACCACAUGGUAGGCUAACGCUUGCCCAGUACCGAAAGGUCAAGGAAGUUUAUGACCUGAUGAUAGAGGAGCUGGCGAUCGAAGCCCUGGUGAACGGCUGCUGUAACUAUAACAGUCCUAAGGUAGCAAAAUUCCUUUUCGGGUAAGUUCAACCCGCACGAAAGGGGUAACGAUCUGAGCACUAUUUCGGAAAGAGGCUCGGUGAAAUAAACAUGUCUAUGAAGAUGCGGACUACCUGUACCUGGACAAAAAGACCCUAUGAAGCUUCACUAUUCCUUAGGAUUGGCUUUGGGCCUUUCUUGCGCAGCUUAGGUGGAAGGGGAUGAAGGCCCCCUUUAGGAGGAGAGGGGGGGGGGGGGGAGGGGUGGUCCGAGCCAUCAUUGUGAUGCCACUCUGAAAGAGCUAGAAUUCUAAUCUUGUGUCAGGACCUAUGGGCUAAGGGACAGUCUCAAAUAAACAGUUUCUAUAGGGUGUAGGCCUCCCAAAAGGUAACAAAGGCGUGCAAAGGUUUCCUCAGGCCGAACGGAGAUUAGCCCUUGAGUGCAAAGGCAAAAGGGAGUUUGACUGCAAGACCCACCCGUCGAGCAGGGACGAAAUUCAGCCUUAGUGAUCUGACAGUGUCAAGUGGAAGGGUCGUCCUUCAACGUAUAAAAGUUACUCUAAGGAUAACAAGUUGAUCUUCCCCAAGAGCUCACUUUGAUGGGAAGGUUUGGCACCUCUAUGUCAGCUCUUCGCCACCUGGGGCUAUAGUAGGUUCCAAGGAUUAGGUUAUUUUUCCAUUAAAGCGAUACGUGAGCUGGGUUUAGAAUAUCGUGAGACAGUUCGGUCUAUAUCUGGUGUGGGCGUUAGAGUAUUAAGAGGACCUUUUCCUAGUAUGAGAGGACCGAGAGAAACACACCUCCGUUGUACUAGUUAUCAUGCCCACGAUAAACGCUAGGUGGCCAAGUGUGGAGUGGAUAACUGUUGAAAGCAUCUAAGUAGUAAGCCCACCCUAAGAUUAGUGCUCUCUAAUUCUGACUUCUCCAAAACUUUCGGUAGCACAGCUGAAACAGUGACGAGUUCUCUACACUUGCAGGGUGGAGUAACAGAAGUUUUGAGAAUUCAAGAGAAUAUCACGAUGAGACAAGCCGAUUAUCAUUAUGAUA
rnacentral:rRNA from 1 species